GACGAACGCUGGCGGCGUGCUUAACACAUGCCAGUCGAACGGAAAGGCCCUGCUUUUGUGGGGUGCUCGAGUGGCGAACGGGUGAGUAACACGUGAGUAACCUGCCCUUGACUUUGGGAUAACUUCAGGAAACUGGGGCUAAUACCGGAUAGGAGCUCCUGCUGCAUGGUGGGGGUUGGAAAGUUUCGGCGGUUGGGGAUGGACUCGCGGCUUAUCAGCUUGUUGGUGGGGUAGUGGCUUACCAAGGCUUUGACGGGUAGCCGGCCUGAGAGGGUGACCGGCCACAUUGGGACUGAGAUACGGCCCAGACUCCAACGGGAGGCAGCAGUGGGGAAUAUUGCACAAUGGGCGGAAGCCUGAUGCAGCAACGCAGCGUGCGGGAUGACGGCCUUCGGGUUGUAAACCGCUUUCGCCUGUGACGAAGCGUGAGUGACGGUAAUGGGUAAAGAAGCACCGGCUAACUACGUG
rnacentral:rRNA from 1 species